rnacentral:lncRNA from 1 species
GGUAGUAGCAAGGAACGUGACAUUUCCGAGUUACCUUUGUAUCCCAUAUCUUGUUAGCAGGACGGGUAGGUUUAUAGGUGCGGGUCGAACAUCCUUUGUGGUGUCUAGAUUCCGUAAGCUUCCCCAAUAGAACAGUAGAUCAUCCUUACCAAGGUUAGAAUGAGACUACGGUUGCAGUCUUCUCUAUAUAUCACUCACAUCGAGAAACAUUCUUUGUAGCCUAAAGGGAUAGUAGCAAUAGAUUUGGUUAGUCAGAUGCACCCUUUCACCCAGUGGUAAAAAUAUAAAUACGAUACUCUGGAAAAUCUCCCGGGUGAAAUGCUCACCGAUAUCCGUGCGCCUGCGGAUCAAUUCCUUAUUGCGUUACCAAAUAUCAACAAGCAUUUCUGGCGCCGUUGCCGGGGAGAAAGACGGUUUGCUGAGAUAACUUUAAGUCUUGCUAUUAUCUUGUAUUAUACUUUUAUACUUUUAUUCUUUCAUCUUUUUAUUUUUAUCCUUAUGGAUAACUUAAAUUCCAUACCUAUCAUUGAAUUCUUUGCACCUUCGGAGACCAGCCAUAGACCAUGGGAGUCAACAAGUCCUGCCCCUAAUUAUGAUCUGUGUCCGGAGUUGAUUGCAAUAGGUCAAAACCAACCCUUUUCUAUAGCUGAGGUCCUAUCUUUUAAUCAAGAAGAUAAUGCACUUUUAGUUACACCUAGGGAAUCUGUUAAUCUUUCUAUAAAUUCUGGUUUAGACCUAGCCCUACAAGACCAUGUUUUUUCUCGAUAUUUUCACAUUGGUCUUAAUCAUAUAACCUUUGGUAGAGUCUUUCUUUCUUUAUCUAUUAGUAAAGGAAGGUAUGUCUUCAUUUUGGACAUCCUUCUUGCACUAGUCUUCAUAAAAAUAUCUUAGAGAUAGAGAAGGAAUCAUCGCCCAGACAAGGAAAGGAAGUUUCAAUAGCCAAUUUCCAAACAUUCCAAUCCCAUGAUUCGGCUAUCCAACCCAUCCUUUAGCCUAAUAAUUUCUACUAUGCUCUUUCUCUUGAACCUCCAGAUAAUCCUAUGAAUCUCUCUAGACAUCCCAUUCAUAAGAGUCACCAAUACCACAAGGAGGAUUGAGAAGAGCAACAUCAAUGGCUAGAGGGCAUUAAAAAUCCAUGUGCUAUCACCAUUGAAUGGAUAGAUAAAACAAACUUAAGAGACAAUCCUAGAGGAAUUUUAAGCAUUCAUGAAGAAUCAUCCUUAGAGUUUGAGAAUGAGAGAAACAAAAGUGAGCAUGGAAGUUAUUUCAUAAAUACCUCAUCAAGUCCUUGCUCAUAUAAAACAUCUCCCCAAUCAAUUGGACUCUCUACCCUUACCACAUUUGAGAUCUCCAACCCCCUCUUCCUUUCUAUUUAUAAAAACUUUAAAAGAGCGGUUGUCGAUGCAUAUGUCUAUAAUAAAUAUUGCAGAUCUUGUUGAGUUGAUCUUGAUAUAGGUAGGUGUUGGAGGGGAAACCACUUCACCAACAUAACUUGAUGGUUUCCAAGGAUAAGCUUAGCGUCCUUAAACAAGGACUUAUCAGAUCGCAACAUGAACUUCUAAUUAUUUGCAACACUGCCUUGUGUACUGAGCAUAUAAAGAUAAUUGUAGAAAUAUUCCUUCGGGUAUUCUUGUCACUAACCUUUCUAGGAUUGGAGCAAGAAGACCGGAUGAAUGACAAGCACAAGGUAUGUCCAACCAACCAUCACACAACAUUGAAUUAAAUUCAUCCAAACUUGAAUUUUGCAAAAUUCAAGCUUGGGGAGUACUUUACAUAAAAACAUCCUCUGCCAAGUUGCUAUGUUGGUUGUCCUUACCUUUGAGACAUGCUCAAUUUGUUAAAUACUAAUCACACUACUUAAUCUCCACUUGAGUAGAUCUCUAUAAAUGCCAUCAUGCUACCUUUGUUUAUCCUAGUAAGUGUUGGUUUGGAAGUACUCGACAUACUUCCAUUGGCAUUUAAAUUAAGCAUGGUGCUUAGGUUAAAUAGCCUUCCUUAAUCUGAUUAGACAUGGAGUCUAGUUUGGUUACUGAACUAAAAACUGCUUGAGUAGAUAUUGGUAUAUUUUGUGGGACUAACCCCUGUAGGAAAACUUUCAAUAUCAACCUGGGAAGUCCUGAGAUAAACUCACAUUGGAGAUGAAGAAAGUGACACAUGAAGUUUAACGAUUUGCACAAGGAAGACAUAGCUCAUUCAUCAAAGAGAGAUGAUCCAUGGAACAAGACAAAGAGUGCCACAAACACGAUGCACAACCGCUAAGAAAGGAAAGCUUCCACAAGGUGAUACUGUACCAUCACUCUUCAAGUAUGGUAACAUCUUAAGGUACUUCACUAACACUUUUAUAAGCUUCUCCUUGGUUCUGGCAUACACAUGAAUAAAAGAGACAAACAUGUAUGAUUUGUAGCUCCAAAUUAACCAACCCAAUUAAUUCAACAUGUUUAGUCCUUUAAUCUUUGUUCUUAGUACUACCUUCGUGACCCCACACUCCUAAUCAUAUAAGCUAAAAUGUUGCACAUUCAAUCUUUGGAAGAUAUAAACAAAACAUAAAUAUAGAUAGAUUAUCUUUCCAUUAGGUUGAGCCAUCUGAUCUAACAAAUGUUUUAAAUGCUGCACUCAUGAUCCAUCAACUUUGUCUUGCUCACUAUGCUUAAGGUUAGAGAAGAACAAAUACACUUUUGGUUCUGUUGGUGUUUUCCACCAACAGGGCCCAUGCACUUGAUCUCUGCCUUGUCUCUAUGAAUAGGUACACUUCAAACAAAACAUGGAGGAGUUUUACAACUCCCAGAUUCCACCAUGUGAAGAACCGGGAUCUACGAGCACAAACACAAUGGAGAUCAGACACUUAGUUUCCCAAAUGAAAUAUUGAAGAACCUCUGUGUCCGAGUUGGUACCUUGUACGCUCCAGCAAACUUCGUGGUGAUAGAGACUGGUACUGAGGAGAGGGCACCCAUCAUCUUAGGGAGGCCAUUCCUAAACACCAGAGCUGUCAUCUACGCUAAUGCUGCCAAGAUCAGUUUCUACAUCAAGGGGAAGAAGGAGACUUUCCUUCAAGAACAAGACUACACAAAUUUCAGAGCAAUCCCGACAUGAACCAAGGAAGAGGACCAACAGGAGGAACAGGAACAAACAAAUGUGGACCGAGUCAGCUAAGAUGGUCACUGCAGCUCAAGGAGGUCAUGAUCGUCGACUCAAGUCACCUUUCUUGAUCAAGAAGGAUGACCCUGGUGUUCCAAGCAUUGAGUGCACAAUCAACAAGAUACUCUUUUUAGAAGACACUCUACGACACCGGAUCUGACGUCAACAUAAUGGCCGCAGUCAGUUAUCAGCUCCUGCAUGGAACCAUGCCCCUACAACCAACAUAUAUUCAGCUCCAGAUGAUUUUCACAUCAUUGACAAGGGAAAAGACGAGUAUGAUCCACCCAUCAUCCUUGGAAGACCAUUCCCCAACACUAUCAAAGUUAUCAUCUACAUUGGAACCGGAGAAGUCCACAUGUACUUCCCCUCUGAAAAGGUACGCCGCUAUUUUACUGACCCUAACUAUAUAGUUGAAGACUUUAAGAAGGUCAGGAUAAGAAGACGACGUAACCGCAACCAGAGGAGGCAAAUCAUCAAGAACGGAUAGGUAGACUACGAAGGAGAAGUGCUAAGGACUGAAGACAUACAGCUUGAAUAGAACCAUCCUGAGGAGACCGUAGCACCGAGUCAGAUGUGGAAAAAGAAGAUAGUUAUAACCGCCGGAACCACCGACUACGCCAUCCAGCGAAUCCCAGGACGACUGAGGAAACAAGGAGUCCCGUUCGAAGGACUUAAAAACACCGAACGCCUAGCCAAGAGGUAAACUUGGUAGUUAUCCUUUUCCCUUCAAUUAUUUUGUUUAGUUAAUCAGGUUCAUAUCAUCUCGAAAAGAAAAUAAAAAUGUUAAAAAUAGUAAGCCCCAUGUGAGUAUGCUCAUGGCAUAAAACCCAUAGGUACAUUCACUGUGGUGGCAUAAAAUAAAUAAGUUUUCAUCUUACAAUAAAAAUAUAAAAAUAAUAAGUGCAUGAUCCUGCUAAAUAAGUAACAUUUAUUGAGGAGGCUCAACAUGAUAAAGGCUAGAUUAUAUGGUAACACUUAACCAGUUCCACAGAGCUUUGUUGUCUAUUUGAGCUCCGCAGAAUUCAAGGAUCAAAGAAGACUAGCAGACAGAGGACAUCCUAAUCACUGUCAGGGUGCUACCGACUUUCAAAUACACCUCCACCACCUGCUAGCUACAUCAGAAGAAAUUACGUCAAAAUCCAGCUUGGGGGAGAGCACCCCCAUUUAUCCAGCUAAGUGUUUCUACUUGCGUUUAUACUUUACUCAAAUAAUAAAAGAUGCAUAAUCAUGAAAACCCAAAUAAAUAUUUUGUGCUUUUAUAUAUAUAUAUCUUUGCUUAGUUUGCUAAAUAAAUAAAUAAAUAAAGUUUGCUAUGAACCCUCAUGAUAAGCUCUCACAUGGAAAUGAUGAAUAGUUGCUCUGCCAUGACUAGUUCUUAAAAUUAAAAUAUCUCUCAAGUUUAGGCAUGACAGUUAUGAAGUAAGAUUUGCUCUAAACCUGAACUUGUGGGAAGAGUACUUGAUCUAAAGUCUAAGUUGUUAACGGAUAUGAUAUGGGAAGGUUGAGCUGCUGUUUAUCUGUUCCUAGAGAUGCUAGAAUUCUGGAGAAUAUUAUCUUUGAAAAUAUUUUAAAAUAUCACAUGAUGAGUUCCUAUAUGAUGAGAGUUUAAAAUCCUACCACAGCCAUAUAUACAUGCUUAUUAGACUUUGAGCCACACAUUUACUUUUUACUGCUUAUGAGCAUUGAGUGUGGUCAACCUGUGUAGACCCUUAGGAGUUUGUCAUGUGGUUAAAAUCAAGAUUCACUUGCACGUUCACUCAUACAUGCUGCUUCUACUCUGGAAGUACGCAUCCAUAUACAUCCACUCAUUUCCAUCUCCAGAUUCACCCAAAAUUAUUCUACUCCUAAUCCGGGAGAGAAUAGCCAAAAUAUUUUCCUAUCCCUAUUAUUCCCUGUGAAAUAAAUGCUCCAGUUAUUUUGGUUACUACCACUUGCUACAUUAUUUCAGGAGAUGAGUGCUCUAAAAAAAAGAGAGAAAAAAAAGGAAGAGAAAAAAAUAAUAAUACGAGGAAAUAAAAAGGGGCAAGUGCCCGGAACCUCGAAAAAGUGAGACGAGAGGUAAAAAUGGACAAGUGUCCGACAGUAGAAUUAGGGGUACAAGAUACCCACCUGAGAGGAAAGAAAAAAAGAAAAUAUAGAGCAUCUCAUUCUCCUCAAAAAGCUUCAAAGUGCAAGAAAGGUAUGUAUCCCCUUAAAAGAGCAAAAGUAAAAUUAGAUUUUCACCAUUGUUAUCACCAUCAUCACCAUACACCACUCGCCACACAUGCAUAUCUUGAUUUGACUUAUUGACUUGUUUCUCUGGAUCCAUGGUUUGACUAUGCAAUAAAUGUCUUGUAAGUAUGUAUUAGCUGUCUCCCACCUAUGAGCUCCAGAUAUCAAAACCUUAUUAGAGUAGGGUG